rnacentral:rRNA from 1 species
CCUACGGGCGACAGCAGUGAGGAAUAUUGGUCAAUGGACGCAAGUCUGAACCAGCCAUGCCGCGUGCAGGAAGACGGCUCUAUGAGUUGUAAACUGCUUUUGUACGAGGGUAAACGCAGAUACGUGUAUCUGUCUGAAAGUAUCGUACGAAUAAGGAUCGGCUAAUUCCGUGCCAGCAGCCGCGGUAAUACGGAGGAUUCAGGCGUUAUCCGGAUUUAUUGGGUUUAAAGGGUGCGUAGGCGGUCGGAUAAGUUAGAGGUGAAAUCCCGGGGCUCAACUUCGGAAUUGCCUCUGAUACUGUUCGGCUAGAGAGUAGUUGCGGUAGGCGGAAUGUAUGGUGUAGCGGUGAAAUGCUUAGAGAUGAUACAGAACACCGAUUGCGAAGGCAGCUUACCAAGCUACUUCUGACGUUGAGGCACGAAAGCGUGGGGAGCGAACAGGAUUAGAUACCCGAGUAGUC